rnacentral:rRNA from 1 species
CUAGUCUCAGUUCGGAUUGGAGUCUGCAACCCGACUCCAUGAAGCUGGAUUCGCUAGUAAUCGCGCAUCAGCCACGGCGCGGUGAAUACGUUCCCGGGCCUUGUACACACCGCCCGUCAAGCCAUGGAAGCCGGGAGUGCCUGAAGUGCGUGACCGCAAGGAGCGUCCUAAGGCAAUACCGGUGACUGGGGCUAAGUCGUAACAAGGUAUC